rnacentral:rRNA from 1 species
CCGGCCGACCGGGGUACGGGUAAACGACGUUAGUGCAACUUACUUAAGGGGGGAAGGUAACCCGGGGAAAGUCGGACUAAUACCGCAUGAAGCAGGGGCCCCGCAUGGGGAGUAUUUGCUAAAGAUUCAUCGCUGAUAGAUAGGCAUGCGUUCCAUUAGGCAGUUGGCGGGGUAACGGCCCACCAAACCGACGAUGGAUAGGGGUUCUGAGAGGAAGGUCCCCCACAUUGGUACUGAGACACGGUCCAA